AUGUUGCAAUUAAUGUAAGAAAUCCGUUAAUAUGCAAAAUAACUAGAUAAUUUCCAUAAUUACUGAACUAGACCGUUAAUGUGGAAAAAACUAAGUUAUAUGCACAAUAACUGAACAAGUCUGUAAAUGUGCAUACUAACUGGAAAAGAUUAGUCAAUGUGGAAAAUCAUUGAAAUCAUUAAUUUUACAUUCUUUUCCGUGACCCAUUCCAGAAUCACAAAUUGAUGCUCGGCUCAUGGGAUAUGCAGCGUGUCCUCAGGGCUUGAUUAAGAACCACGGGCUGUGUUGCGUGCCGACAGGACUAAAAACGGAUUCUAACCCACCGCCAACUCAUGUAAUAUCAUCAGAGACUCUAUCCAUUUUAACUCCGGAUGUUAUAACAAUACACGGGUUUUUUUUCGUGCCAAAGUGACUAACAAAUGGAUUGGAACCCACCGCUAAUUCACGUAGUAUCAUCAAGGACGCCAUCCACUAUCCAGAAAUGUUUCGAUUUGGAUAACUUAUCAUCAUUUUUGUGGCCUAUGGAGCAAUAAUUAUCUUUAAAAUGGAUGUAUGAUUGACCAUGAAUUUCUAAAAACCUAGUUGAGAAAUAGUACAUGGAUUGAUAAAACUU
rnacentral:lncRNA from 1 species